AAAAAAUUGACCCUCCAAAAAAUGCUGGAAAUACACUUUUGCUGGGGUGGAGGGAGUACUUGACUAAACAUUCAUCUAGCUAUUUAUGUGGACACAAAAAUGAGUGAAUUACUGCUGUCGAUUGUCUGACUAGUGUUUCCAUGCGAUCUAGUUCGAUUCUGUGGAUAACUGACUCUCAUAUACUCCCUCCGUCUGGGAAAGCUUGUCCCUGUGGCGUUUUUGCAAAAAUGCCCUCAAAGAAACAACGACCGAACCCGCAGUCCAUCGUCCCCUUCGACAGCUCCGCUCGUGCAGCUCCACCGCUCCCCUGCGGCACCGGCGACACCGCGCAGCUCCACCACGCCGCUCCGCCGCGACCCGCAGCUCCACCGCUCCCCCCAUCCCCGCCCGUCGAUUUGUUCCCUAAAAUACUCACCUUUCCCCAUCCCUGCCCGUGACGAGGCCGAAUGUGUACCACUCCAGCAUCCCCGGCGCGGCGUCCAGCCAGAGGAAGAGGCAGUCGUGGGCAGCGGCGUUGGCUUCCAGCCCUCCACCAGCGCCUCGAUGUAGGUGUUGGAGCCGCUGGCAAAAUUUCAAAUUGGGAAGAGCAAAAUCUCACAUUUCUUUUUCCGGCGGAGAUAAAGGCGGCUCUCUCCUCUUCAUAGGUGUCAAAAUUCAGAGUUGGGAGCAGUUGUUGUUGACUAAAGGUUAUGCCCCCAAUGCCAAGAUUGACAGGAGUAGCAAGAGUAGAAGAAGAUUACUGUAUUCACUGAAUUAUUUUUGACAGUAGUUGUUGUUGACUAAAGGUUACGCCGUCGACCAAUUCACAUUGCUGGCGCCGCUGUCCCAUAGAAGGUCAGCACAGUGCACAUCUCCACCACUCCACUGCGCAGCUCCAUCCCUCCUGCAUGUGGUGAGCCCACCCGUUGCUUUCAAUGCCAUGAGCAUGAAUGAGCUAAGAAAAUGGAACGAACAGUACGGAGAAGGUGGCAGCAGGAGUAGAUCACCAUUUGGGUUCGGCAGCUAACAUGAUUCCGGUAGCAAAUUUUCCACACUGUACGGAGAAGGUGGCAGCAUGAUUGCAGACUGAAAAUGUUUUUUUUAUAAGAGACUUAAAAUGUUGGAGCGACAACAGUAACUGUUCUUGAUCUUACACAAUUGUAGCGAUAUGCUACUUUGCA